rnacentral:lncRNA from 1 species
AAAAAAAACUUUUCAUCAAAACCCUAAACUCAUCUCCUCUCCUAGCCGCCACCUACCACUCCGGCGACACCCUACCCUCCGCCGCCACCUUCCACUACGGCGCCACCCUACUCUCCGCGGUGGAGCCGUUGUACACGUAGACGAUAUCUCUAGCUGGUCACCGCACCACAACUCUCUCAAUUCCCCGGAAUAGACUCGUCGCCGCUCGCCACCAUCGUUGAGCUCUACUCCGCCUCCGACUGCCUCUCCCUAAUGGACUCCUUGCCACUGUCGUAAAUGGAUCUGAUAUUGUAGUUUGGGAGAAUGUUGAAAUGAUGUUUGGAUUUGAGUGAUAAAUUAGGUUUUAGAUGUAUGAAUCUUAAAGUGAAAGUUAACGUAGUUUUGGAGGAGACCUGUAAUUAUUACUAGAAGAUGCCUUUGCUUGUUCAUUUUUCAUGAAGUUUCAAUGUUGAAGUUUGAUAGUAGAGUGGAGUGAUUCGAGCUUCAAAUUAGUGGACCUGGUGUUAUAGUUUAUGAGGAUAGGAUGAUAAUGACGGAUAGUUUUUAGAAUAUUUGGUGUUAAUUUAUAUAAUUUUAUGUUAUUUUUCUG